UUUUUUUAUUUUUAUUUUUAUUUUUUUAGAAAGGCUUUUUUAAACACAAAAGCAUUGGAAGAUAUUUUGAAAUAAACAAUGCUACUUUGAGGAUACAAAAAACAUUUUAAUUUUUUAAACUUCAAAAAACACUGUUAACACAUAAGGUUAAAAGUUUGGAAGGACAUACUCCAAAAAUGUUAGUUACAAGUCCAAGGGGUAAAAAUGUAGGAGAUUUUUACUUUCUUCUUUUUGAUUUUCUAUUGUAUCUGAUUUUUUAUUUUGCCGUGAUAGCCCUUUGUUUUCACUAUCACACACACAAAAAAUAAAGGUGUUUCCAUUUUGAAAAGAAAUUUGACAUAAAAAGAUUAAAGUGUUAGAAACAAGGGAAAUAUUUUAAAAAAUAAAAUAGAACUCUCACAAUUCACAAGAAAAACAUUAAAAGAUCCCAAUAUAACUAGGCACAUGGCACAAAUGGAUAAUUCACAAAAAUGCAGAUUCAGCCUUGGGGCACCUGGGUAGCUCAGUCAGUUGGGCAUCUGCCUUCAGCUCAGGUCAUGAUACUAGGGUACUGGGAUCCAGUCCAGUAUCAGGCUACCUGUUCAGCGGGGAGCCUGCUUCUCCCUCUCACUUUGCCCCUCCCCCUGCUUGCACAUGCUCACGGUCUUUCUCUCUCUCUCAAAAACAAAUAAAAUCUUUUAAAAAAAUAAAAUUAAAAAAAAUAAAAGUUCAAUCUUGGGGUGCCUGGCUGGCUCAAUUAGAGGAGCAUGUGACUCUUGAUCUCAGGGUCAUGAGGUCGAGCCCCACAUUGGGUAUAGAGAUUACUCAAAAAUAAAUAAAUAAAUACUUUAAAAGUUCAGUCUUACCAGAAAAUUUAAAAAGCAUUCAUUAAAUCAAUGAAACAUAACAUUCCUGCCUCUACUUUCUUCAAAGUAGUGAAUUUUUUUUUAAUUAUGUUACUUAAAAUCAGAGACAGACCCAUGCUUUGCUUCUGAAAGUAUAACAGAUAAUAGAAUUUCUGGAAAGCAGUUUUGCGAUAUGUAGUAAGACUCAUCGAAAUGCCUAUAUUCUUCAAUCCUAGAAUUUCAAGUCUAGGAAAUAAUUUAAAAUUUUAGGAAAGCUUUAAUCACACAGAUGUCUGUCAUCUUAAUUAUAAUAAUGAGAACCUGAAAACAGGAGUGGUAGCUAUUUAUUGCCAUUGCUUGCUGCUACUGUGCAUGUUUGCUCACUCCUUCAGACUCCAGACAUUUCUGAGCACCUCCUAAGUACCAGUCCCAGGCCGGGCUCUGCAGAAACAGCAGUGGGUUGCACCCGGGAGAGCACCACAUCUGGGACAGAAUGGGGUCUGGGAAGGAUCAGGGAACUCUCUGAGGGAGGGACAUUGAAGACCUGAAGUGAGCCUUGACAGGAGAGCAGGACAAGAACCUGGUGCCUGGUGGAGCCCUCAAAUAUCGAGGCAGGAAAAAAUGAACAGACAAGCAAAUAUGCAAUGUAUUCUGGGGCUGCCUUUCCUUCUGCCCCUUCAGGGCCAGGUCCCCACCCCUGUGUCCCUCUAGUUCUGCACAGAAGACCCCAAGGGCCCAGCUGUCCAGUCUAUUCUCAGACCUCUGCACAAAGGGCUAUUACCACGUGCAAUUAACUAAACUAUAGUAUAGCAAUGCAUGAAAUGUUUGCCAAAACAAUGCUUAUGAAGUUUUUUGUGAUGGGGAAAUGCCGCUAAUGUGUUGUUAAGAGAAUAAUGCAGGAUAUUGAAUUGUAUAUGAGUAUAGUGCCAGCUGCUAUCCAAAUGUGGUUGGUAUCUCUGGGUAGAGCAAUUUGGGGUGAGGCUUUUUUCAUUCCUUUUUUAUUUUCCAAAUUUUGUGCAAAUACUAUUUUGGUGAUCAAAUGGUAUUAAAA
rnacentral:lncRNA from 1 species